rnacentral:rRNA from 1 species
CCUACGGGUCGCACCAGUGGGGUAUAUUGCACAAUGGGCGCAAGCCUGAUGCAGCCAUGCCGCGUGUGUGAAGAAGGCCUUCGGGUUGUAAAGCACUUUCAGCGAGGAGGAAGGUGGUGGACUUAAUACGUUCAUCAAUUGACGUUACUCGCAGAAGAAGCACCGGCUAACUCCGUGCCAGCAGCCGCGGUAAUACGGAGGGUGCAAGCGUUAAUCGGAAUUACUGGGCGUAAAGCGCUCGCAGGCGGUUUGUUAAGUCAGAUGUGAAAUCCCCGGGCACAACCUGGGAACUGCAUUUGAAACUGGCAAGCUAGAGUCUCGUAGAGGGGGGUAGAAUUCCAGGUGUAGCGGUGAAAUGCGUAGAGAUCUGGAGGAAUACCGGUGGCGAAGGCGGCCCCCUGGACGAAGACUGACGCUCAGGUGCGAAAGCGUGGGGAGCAAACAGGAUUAGAUACCCCCGUAGUC